UGUCCUCUGAUUUUCUACUACUUCUUCAUGCUGAUUGUGUCCACAGAAUGAACAGAAAUUGGUAUGGAUAAACUGUAAGCUAAAGAGCGGUGGAAAAAAGGGACUGGAGGGCACGGCCAAACUAAAUCGACGAGGUGGAGUUGCUGGCAUGUGACGUCAGUCCACGACACCACCGUGAAGUUAGCUCCAGGGACAUGAGGCCUUUGAUGGUAUUAUAUACAGACACGUCAAACUUAUAAAUGGGUUAGUAGCUUUUGCAUAAUCUUGAGCCUGUACAAAGUAUUUUUUCAGCAAUUA